AUGGGUCUAAUCAGUUGCACAGAUGCACCUACAAGUUGCACAAAUAACACACAUGAUGGGCACUGUUUUUUGCUGUUAUAUUGCAUUUUUUCUAUUUUCAAGCUUUUCACACAAGGUCUAUUCCAGCUGCACACAAUAGACACAAAUCCGAAAGUACUUUUAUUCAAGUCAAAACAUCCAAAUUACUUUUGUCAGUUGCACAAUUCUUUUUUAAGUUGCAUAGAAAGAAGCCAUAAGUUGCACACCACAAACCUAUCUAGUUUCAAUAUGUUGUCAGGUUUGAUGCCACAUAGUGUUUUUUUUCUGUUUUUCCAUAGUUUCACACAGGGGAUUCUUCCAAAUUUGGCCAAGAUGACAUACAACAUGGGGUCCCAUGUCUUCUCAUGA
rnacentral:rRNA from 1 species